CACUUAAACCGCCAGGAAAUUACGAGCCCAAGCUUAAAACCCAAAGGACUUGACGGUGCCUCACCUACCUAGAGGAGCCUGUUCUAUAAUCGAUUCUCCCCGAUCCACCUCACCGCUUCUUGAACAUCAGCCUGUAUACCUCCGUCGCAAGCCUACCAUGUGAACGCACGCAGUGGGCCCCAAGAUCUAUACAUCCACACGUCAGGUCAAGGCGCAGCCUACGAAGCGGGAAGAAAUGGGCUACAAUCUCUACCCUAGAACAAACAGAGGACUACAUGCAACAUAGUCACCAAGGCGGAUUUAGCAGUAAAAAGAAAAUAGAGAGUUCUUUUUAACCAAGCCCUGAGGCGCGUACACACCGCCCGUCACCCUCUUCAAAUGACAAAACAACGUUAUUAACACUUUCUCGUCCCACAGAAGAGGCAAGUCGUAACACGGUAAGCGUACUGGAAAGUGCGCUUGGAAUAACAAAAUAUAGCUUAACAAAAGUACCUUGCUUACACCGAGGAUAUGUCUGUAAAAACCAGACUAUUUUGAGCCAAAAACCUAGCCCUAAUAACCCAAAUGUUACAACCAACCAAAAAAGACAUAAUAAAACAUUUUCUUAACUAAGUAAAGGCGAUUAAAAAGUUAAUAGGAGCAUUAAUGCAAGUACCGCAAGGGAAAGAUGAAAUAAAAAUGAAAUAAUUUUAAGCCCAAU
rnacentral:rRNA from 1 species